rnacentral:rRNA from 1 species
UACAGAGGGGGCAAGCGUUAUUCGGAAUUAUUGGGCGUAAAGGGCGCGUAGGCGGCCUUGCAAGUGGAAGGUGAAAUCCCUCGGCUUAACCGAGGAACUGCCUUCCAGACUGCUAGGCUUGAGACCGGGAGAGGUGAGUGGAAUUCCCAGUGUAGCGGUGAAAUGCGUAGAUAUUGGGAGGAACACCAGUGGCGAAGGCGGCUCACUGGACCGGUACUGACGCUGAUGCGCGAAAGCGUGGGGAGCAAACAGG